UUGAACGCUGGCGGCAUGCCUUACACAUGCAAGUCGAACGGUAGAGGGGCAACCCUUGAGAGUGGCGAACGGGUGAGUAAUAUAUCGGAACGUGCCCAGUCGUGGGGGAUAACGCAGCGAAAGCUGCGCUAAUACCGCAUACGAUCUAUGGAUGAAAGCGGGGGAGUCGCAAGACCUCGCGCGAUUGGAGCGGCCGAUAUCAGAUUAGGUAGUUGGUGGGGUAAAAGGCCCACCAAGCCGACGAUCUGUAGCUG
rnacentral:rRNA from 1 species